rnacentral:rRNA from 1 species
AGAGUUUGAUCAUGGCUCAGAAUCAACGCUGGCGGCGCGCCUAACACAUGCAAGUCGCACGAGAAAGUGGAGCAAUCCAUGAGUAAAGUGGCGUACGGGUGAGUAACACGUGGGUAAUCUACCUCUUAGUGGGGAAUAACCCUGGGAAACCGGGGCUAAUACCGCAUAAGCCUGAGAAGGGAAAGCAGCAAUGCGCUGAGAGAGGAGCCCGCGGCCGAUUAGCUAGUUGGUAGGGUAAAAGCCUACCAAGGCAGAGAUCGGUAGCCGGCCUGAGAGGGCACACGGCCACACUGGCACUGAAACACGGGCCAGACUCCUACGGGAGGCAGCAGUGGGGAAUCUUGCACAAUGGGGGAAACCCUGAUGCAGCGACGCCGCGUGAGCGAUGAAGCCCUUCGGGGUGUAAAGCUCUUUCGUCAGGGAAGAUUAUGACGGUACCUGGAGAAGCAGCUGCGGCUAACUACGUGCCAGCAGCCGCGGUAAUACGUAGGCAGCAAGCGUUGUUCGGAGUUACUGGGCGUAAAGGGUGUGUAGGCGGUUCUUUAAGUUUGGUGUGAAAUCUCCCGGCUCAACCGGGAGGGUGCGCCGAAUACUGAGGGACUAGAGUGCGGGAGAGGAAAGUGGAAUUCCUGGUGUAGCGGUGAAAUGCGUAGAUAUCAGGAGGAACACCGGUGGUGUAGACGGCUUUCUGGACCGUAACUGACGCUGAGACACGAAAGCGUGGGUAGCAAACAGGAUUAGAUACCCUAGUAGUCC